rnacentral:SRP_RNA from 1 species
GUUGUGGCAUGCUCCUAUAAUCCAGCUACUCGGAGGCUUGGUUGAUUGGCUGGUUUGAGGAUGGGAAUCCUGGUACUCGGUCUUCUAUGGUGAUCGGAUGUCCACGCUAAGCUUGGCAUCAAUAUGGUUGGUGGCGGAGAGGGAGAUCAUCAGGAACGAAUUGUCUAAGGAGAGUCACUUUGGCCCAGGGGUAGAAACACAGCAGGCAAAAGACUCUGUGUCAAGCAGUAGUGAGAUUAUACCUGUGAAUAGUCAUUAGCUGGCAGCCUGUUCGAUACAACUAAACACCAAUCUAA